GUGGGGAAUUUUCCGCAAUGGGCGAAAGCCUGACGGAGUGACGCCGCGUGGGGGACGAAGGCCUUCGGGUUGUAAACCCCUGUCAGAGGGAAAGAAGGGUCGCCUGGCUAAUAUCCAGGUGAUCUGACGGUACCUUCAGAGGAAGCCCCGGCCAACUCUGUGCCAGCAGCCGCGGUAAGACAGAGGGGGCAAGCGUUGCUCGGAAUCACUGGGCGUAAAGGGCGCGUAGGCGGGAUGGCAAGUCGGUCGUGAAAUCUCUCGGCUCAACCGAGAAACGUCGGCCGAUACUGCCGUUCUUGAGGGAUGCAGAGGAGACUGGAAUUCCCGGUGUAGCGGUGAAAUGUGUAGAGAUCGGGAGGAACACCGGUGGCGAAGGCGGGUCUCUGGGCAUUUCCUGACGCUGAGGCGCGAAAGCGUGGGGAGCAAACGGGAUUAGAUACCCUAGUAGUCC
rnacentral:rRNA from 1 species